ACCAGAUAGUAAUUCAAUGAGACGUUUCAGAUUUAUUGUUUAGAUCUGGGAUUUCUCAUUUCUAUAAAAUAUAUUACCUACUUUUUAGGACAAAUGAAUGGACAAUCGUCGAAGCAGUUGCAGUCCCAGACUCGACAACGGGAGAAGCCAAGUUUACAUUAACAUUCAAAGAACCUGCUUUGACUGCACCUUUUUGGAUUCUUGGUAUAGAUUACAACCAAUUCUUUGUACCUUACUCAUGUCUUGUAGUGGAUGGGGAAGUUAUAGGUAUGUACGGUGAAAUUGAUUUUAAUUACUAUAAAAUAGUCCAAUAAAGAAUUUUUUCAGGUAAACAAA
rnacentral:lncRNA from 1 species